rnacentral:rRNA from 1 species
GAUUAAGUUAUUAAGGGCGCACGAUGGAUGCCUUGGCACUAGAAGCCGAUGAAGGACGUUACUAACGACGAUAUGCUUUGGGGAGCUGUAAGUAAGCUUUGAUCCAGAGAUUUCCGAAUGGGGAAACCCAGCAUGAGUUAUGUCAUGUUAUCGAUAUGUGAAUACAUAGCAUAUCAGAAGGCACACCCGGAGAACUGAAACAUCUUAGUACCCGGAGGAAGAGAAAGAAAAUUCGAUUCCCUUAGUAGCGGCGAGCGAAACGGGAAGAGCCCAAACCAACAAGCUUGCUUGUUGGGGUUGUAGGACACUCUAUACGGAGUUACAAAGGACGACAUUAGACGAAUCAUCUGGAAAGAUGAAUCAAAGAAGGUAAUAAUCCUGUAGUCGAAAAUGUUGUCUCUCUUGAGUGGAUCCUGAGUACGACGGAGCACGUGAAAUUCCGUCGGAAUCUGGGAGGACCAUCUCCUAAGGCUAAAUACUCUCUAGUGACCGAUAGUGAACCAGUACCGUGAGGGAAAGGUGAAAAGCACCCCGGAAGGGGAGUGAAAUAGAACCUGAAACCGUGUGCUUACAAGUAGUCAGAGCCCGUUAAUGGGUGAUGGCGUGCCUUUUGUAGAAUGAACCGGCGAGUUACGAUUUGAUGCAAGGUUAAGCAGUAAAUGUGGAGCCGUAGCGAAAGCGAGUCUGAAUAGGGCGUUUAGUAUUUGGUCGUAGACCCGAAACCAGGUGAUCUACCCUUGGUCAGGUUGAAGUUCAGGUAACACUGAAUGGAGGACCGAACCGACUUACGUUGAAAAGUGAGCGGAUGAACUGAGGGUAGCGGAGAAAUUCCAAUCGAACCUGGAGAUAGCUGGUUCUCUCCGAAAUAGCUUUAGGGCUAGCCUCAAGUGAUGAUUAUUGGAGGUAGAGCACUGUUUGGACGAGGGGCCCCUCUCGGGUUACCGAAUUCAGACAAACUCCGAAUGCCAAUUAAUUUAACUUGGGAGUCAGAACAUGGGUGAUAAGGUCCGUGUUCGAAAGGGAAACAGCCCAGACCACCAGCUAAGGUCCCAAAAUAUAUGUUAAGUGGAAAAGGAUGUGGCGUUGCCCAGACAACUAGGAUGUUGGCUUAGAAGCAGCCAUCAUUUAAAGAGUGCGUAAUAGCUCACUAGUCGAGUGACACUGCGCCGAAAAUGUACCGGGGCUAAACAUAUUACCGAAGCUGUGGAUUGUCCUUUGGACAAUGGUAGGAGAGCGUUCUAAGGGCGUUGAAGCAUGAUCGUAAGGACAUGUGGAGCGCUUAGAAGUGAGAAUGCCGGUGUGAGUAGCGAAAGACGGGUGAGAAUCCCGUCCACCGAUUGACUAAGGUUUCCAGAGGAAGGCUCGUCCGCUCUGGGUUAGUCGGGUCCUAAGCUGAGGCCGACAGGCGUAGGCGAUGGAUAACAGGUUGAUAUUCCUGUACCACCUAUAAUCGUUUUAAUCGAUGGGGGGACGCAGUAGGAUAGGCGAAGCGUGCGAUUGGAUUGCACGUCUAAGCAGUAAGGCUGAGUAUUAGGCAAAUCCGGUACUCGUUAAGGCUGAGCUGUGAUGGGGAGAAGACAUUGUGUCUUCGAGUCGUUGAUUUCACACUGCCGAGAAAAGCCUCUAGAUAGAAAAUAGGUGCCCGUACCGCAAACCGACACAGGUAGUCAAGAUGAGAAUUCUAAGGUGAGCGAGCGAACUCUCGUUAAGGAACUCGGCAAAAUGACCCCGUAACUUCGGGAGAAGGGGUGCUCUUUAGGGUUAACGCCCAGAAGAGCCGCAGUGAAUAGGCCCAAGCGACUGUUUAUCAAAAACACAGGUCUCUGCUAAACCGUAAGGUGAUGUAUAGGGGCUGACGCCUGCCCGGUGCUGGAAGGUUAAGAGGAGUGGUUAGCUUCUGCGAAGCUACGAAUCGAAGCCCCAGUAAACGGCGGCCGUAACUAUAACGGUCCUAAGGUAGCGAAAUUCCUUGUCGGGUAAGUUCCGACCCGCACGAAAGGCGUAACGAUUUGGGCACUGUCUCAACGAGAGACUCGGUGAAAUCAUAGUACCUGUGAAGAUGCAGGUUACCCGCGACAGGACGGAAAGACCCCGUGGAGCUUUACUGUAGCCUGAUAUUGAAAUUCGGCACAGCUUGUACAGGAUAGGUAGGAGCCUUUGAAACGUGAGCGCUAGCUUACGUGGAGGCGCUGGUGGGAUACUACCCUAGCUGUGUUGGCUUUCUAACCCGCACCACUUAUCGUGGUGGGAGACAGUGUCAGGCGGGCAGUUUGACUGGGGCGGUCGCCUCCUAAAAGGUAACGGAGGCGCUCAAAGGUUCCCUCAGAAUGGUUGGAAAUCAUUCAUAGAGUGUAAAGGCAUAAGGGAGCUUGACUGCGAGACCUACAAGUCGAGCAGGGUCGAAAGACGGACUUAGUGAUCCGGUGGUUCCGCAUGGAAGGGCCAUCGCUCAACGGAUAAAAGCUACCCCGGGGAUAACAGGCUUAUCUCCCCCAAGAGUUCACAUCGACGGGGAGGUUUGGCACCUCGAUGUCGGCUCAUCGCAUCCUGGGGCUGUAGUCGGUCCCAAGGGUUGGGCUGUUCGCCCAUUAAAGCGGUACGCGAGCUGGGUUCAGAACGUCGUGAGACAGUUCGGUCCCUAUCCGUCGUGGGCGUAGGAAAUUUGAGAGGAGCUGUCCUUAGUACGAGAGGACCGGGAUGGACAUACCUCUGGUGUACCAGUUGUCGUGCCAACGGCAUAGCUGGGUAGCUAUGUGUGGACGGGAUAAGUGCUGAAAGCAUCUAAGCAUGAAGCCCCCCUCAAGAUGAGAUUUCCCAACUUCGGUUAUAAGAUCCCUCAAAGAUGAUGAGGUUAAUAGGUUCGAGGUGGAAGCAUGGUGACAUGUGGAGCUGACGAAUACUAAUCGAUCGAAGACUUAAUCAA